UCCGGUUUAGCACCGGCAGUCCUCCCAGAGUCCCCGCCAUGACGCGCUGGCAACUGGGAGCGGGGGUUGCGCUCGUUGCGGGACUUAACCCAACAUCUCACGACACGAGCUGACGACAGCCAUGCAGCACCUGUGCACGGGUCCCGAAGGAGGGCCUCCGUUUCUGGAGGCUUUCCCGUGUAUGUCAAGCCUAGGUAAGGUUCUUCGCGUUGCGUCGAAUUAAACCACAUGCUCCACCGCUUGUGCGGGCCCCCGUCAAUUCCUUUGAGUUUCAGCCUUGCGGCCGUACUCCCCAGGCGGGGCACUUAAUGCGUUAGCGUCGGCACUCAGGGGGUCGCUCCCCCAAGCACCUAGUGCCCAUCGUUUACGGCGUGGACUAC
rnacentral:misc_RNA from 1 species